GCCUGGGUGGCUCAGUUGGUUGGGCGACUGACUUCGUCUCAGGUCAUGAUCUCGCAGUUUGUGAGUUCGAGCCCCACGUCAGGCU
rnacentral:tRNA from 1 species